CUCAAUAUAACCAAAUUGUCAGGCACAAUGAGAAGCUCCUCUGAUAAUUCAGCUCCCUUGAGACUGAAGGAAUUCUGAAGCACAUACUGGUCUUGGGCAUUCACAGUAGAACAAAGAAAUAGAGUAGAAUUGAUGAAAAGCCAAACUCAACGAAAGACUGACAAGCAACCAGUGUGCAAAAGAAAAUAGACUGUGCAAAUAAAAAAUAAUAAUAAAUAAUAUCGAGAACAUCAGUCCUUGAAGUGGGUCCACAGGUUGUGGAGUCAGUUCAGUGUUGAGAGAGUUGGCGCAUUCCGAUCCAAUGAGCCGUACCAUCUAGCAAACGAGCUAUUUAACCCUGGCCUGAUCACAGGACAAUCUACAAUGACCAAUAAACCUACUAAACUGUGCGACUUUGGACUCUGGAAGGAAACUGGAGCACCUAGAGGAAACCCAUGGGGAGAAAGGACAGACAGAUGGCACUGGAACUGAACUCUGAACUCCGACAUCCAAACUCCAAGCUGUCACCGCGUGGAGCUAACUGCUACACCACCGUGGUGCCCCACAUUUGAUAUCACAUUUUCUAGAUUAACAGCUUGGGCUUCUUGAGUAUUAACCCAUUGACAGCCCUCUGUAAUGGCCCUGCCAUGAUGCCCCCUUCACUAACUCAAAGUGAACUCCAAUUGCCACCUCUUCUAAAGUUAUCCAACUCAGCACAAACCUUGGCUGAAACACUAGAAAUACCCCCCCCCCCACCGCCACCCCCUCCAGCUCAUCUGAGUGGUAAGAUUAUUUUAACCCCCCUCUUUCACUGAGAUUUCAGACGCCAACAGCAGUGGGAAAUUAAAGAUUGUGGGUUUGUCACAUUAUUAAUUUGGCACUAAAACCAACAAUGCCAUGUUUUCAGCUGUCCAUCUGAUACACUGCUUCCCCAGGUGCCCCCCCCCCCCCUGUGGUGUCAGAAGAAGGUGUCUCACUAGCAAAGUGUCAGCAGAUGCAAGGGCAACGUUACCCUCUGCAGGCUUUCCUCCAAAUCACCCAUCAUCUUGUCUUGGAAAUAUAUGGCCACUCCUCAUUGUCCCUCCUUGGUAGCAAAGUAGAUAUUUUUUCCCCUGUAAGACUGAAGGUUCAAGAAUACACUUCAGUUUGUGUCACCUUACAAAGAGUAAUAAAGGGAUGGACGAUGAAUGCCAGCCCAGUCAGAUCCUUCCUGCAUACGCCCGGAGCAUCACGCCCACCGUGGGCAACCCGCAGGCAGAGGCAGUAGCUCACCUCUUGGCGGACUGAGGGUUUGCAGAGAGCGCGUGGAGGAAGAUGCAGGGACCUGCACCAAGGUACAUCAUGAGCAGCCAUGGGACAGAGAGCUCUCUGGUCUCCCGACCGUUCCCAGGCACACGUACGGGAAUGAAUGUAAGUGUUGCUGGCAGGUCAUCAGCUCAGUUAAAGACAUCCUUCAGUCUGCCUUGAAUUUCAGAAUCAGAAUCAGGUUGAAUAUCACUGGCACAGGCCAUAACAAUUGUUGUUUUACAACAGCAGUACAUUGCAGUACAUAAUAAUAAAAAAUGUAAAUUACAAUAAGAAUUAUAUAUAUAUUAAAUUAAAUAAGCAGUGCAAAAAGAGAAGGAAAAAAUACUGAGUUAGUGUCCAUGGAUUCAAUGUCCAUUCAGAAAUCUGAUGGCAAAGGGGAAGAAGCUGUUCCUGAAACAUUGAGAGUGUGUCUUCAGGCUCCUGACCCUCCUCCUUGAUGGUAGCAAAGAGAAGAGGGUAAUUGAUGUGGUCUACAUGGACUUUAGCAAAGCAUUUGACAAGGUCCCUCAUGAGAGACUCUUCCAGAAAGUCAUGAGGCAUGGGAUAAGUGGAACCUUGGCUGUUUGGAUAAAAGAUUGGCUUAAAGGAAGAAAGCAGAGGGUAGUUGUGGAAGGAAAAUACUCUGCCUGGAGGUCGGUGACGAGUGGAGUACCGCAGGGAUCUGUCCUGGGACCCCUGCUAUUUGUGAUUUUUAUAAAUGACCUAGAUGUUGAGGUGGAAGGAUGGGUGAGUAAGUUUGCAGAUGACACGAAGAUUGGAGGAGUUGUGGACGGAGCUGUAGGUUGUCAAAGGUUACAAGAGGAUAUAGACAGGCUGCAGAGUUGGGCAGAAAAAUGACAGAUGGAGUUCAAUCUGGACAAGUGUGAGGUGAUGCAUUUUGGAAGGACAAACCAGAAGACUGAGUACAGGAUUAAUGGUCAGUUACUUAUGAGUGUGGAUGAACAAAGGGAUCUUGGGGGUUCAAAUCCAUACAUCCCUCAAGGUCGCUGCACAGGUUGAUAGGGUAGUUAAGAAGGCCUAUGGGAUGCUAGGCUUCAUUAACAGGGGGAUUGAGCUCAAGAGUAGAGGGGUCAUGUUGAACUCUACAAAUCUCUGGUGAGACCACACUUAGAGUAUUGUGUUCAAUUCUGGUCACCUCAUUAUAGGAAGGACCUGGAAGCUAUGGAGAGGAUGCAGAGGAGAUUUACCAGGAUGUUGCCUGGUUUGGAGAACAAGUCAUAUGAAGCAAGGUUAGCAGAGCUCUUUGGAGCGUAGAAGAAUGAAAGGGGACUGGAUAGAGGUCUACAAGAUUAUGAGAGGAUAUUAGGGUGGAUAGUCAGUACCUGUUUCCCAGGGCACCAAUAGCAAACACCAGAGGGCAUAUGUACAAAAUUAAGGAGGGAAGUUUAGGGGAGACUUCAGGGGUAAUUUUUUACACAGAGGGUUGUAAGUGCCUGGAAUGACUUGUCAGGGAUGGUGGUGGAGGCUAAAACAUUAGGGGUAUUUAAGAGCCUCUUGGACAGGCACAUGGAUGAAAGAAAAAUGGAGGGUUAUGGGGUAGUGUGGGUUUAGUACUUUUUUUUAAAGGAUUAUAUGGGUGGGCAUAACAUGGAGGGCUGAAGGGCCUGUACUGUGCUGUAGUGUCCUUCCUGGGUGAUGGGGGUCCUUAAUGAUGGAUGAUGCCUUCUUCAGAAUUCGCCUUUUGAAGGUGUCCUGGACGCAGGGGAGGCUCGUGUGCAUGAUGAAGCUGGCUGAGUUUACAACUUCCUGCAGUAUUUUCCCAGUCCUGUGCAGUGGCUCCUGCACACCCGAUGGUGAUGCGACUAGUUAGAAGGCUCUCCAUGGUACAUCUGCAGAAAUUUACCAGACCAAGUCUCCUCAAGCUCCAGAUGGAACAGAGCCACUGCAAGGGCUAAGUGGAGAAAGACCACAGUGUAGGAUGACCCUCCUGCUGGAGAGGGAGGGGCCGGGUUGGAGGAGAAAGACCCUCAAUUAUUGUAUUUGUCUACCACCCUGGGUGGGGGUGAACUGACUGGCAGCGAUGUGUAUGAAUGUAAUGGAACAGUA